UGAGUAACACGUGGGUAACCUGCCCAUAAGACUGGGAUAACUCCGGGAAACCGGGGCUAAUACCGGAUAACAUUUUGAACUGCAUGGUUCGAAAUUGAAAGGCGGCUUCGGCUGUCACUUAUGGAUGGACCCGCGUCGCAUUAGCUAGUUGGUGAGGUNACGGCUCACCAAGGCAACGAUGCGUAGCCGACCUGAGAGGGUGAUCGGCCACACUGGGACUGAGACACGGCCCAGACUCCUACGGGAGGCAGCAGUAGGGAAUCUUCCGCAAUGGACGAAAGUCUGACGGAGCAACGCCGCGUGAGUGAUGAAGGCUUUCGGGUCGUAAAACUCUGUUGUUAGGGAAGAACAAGUGCUAGUUGAAUAAGCUGGCACCUUGACGGUACCUAACCAGAAAGCCACGGCUAACUACGUGCCAGCAGCCGCGGUAAUACGUAGGUGGCAAGCGUUAUCCGGAAUUAUUGGGCGUAAAGCGCGCGCAGGUGGUUUCUUAAGUCUGAUGUGAAAGCCCACGGCUCAACCGUGGAGGGUCAUUGGAAACUGGGAGACUUGAGUGCAGAAGAGGAAAGUGGAAUUCCAUGUGUAGCNGGUGAAAUGCGUAGAGAUANNGANGAACACCAGUGGCGAAGGCGACUUUCUGGUCUGUAACUGACACUGAGGCGCGANNNAGCGUGGGGAGCAAACAGGNAUUAGAUACCCUGGUAGUCCNCGCCGUAAACGAUGAGUGCUAANNUGUUAGAGGGUUUCCGCCCUUUAGUGCUGAAGNNAACGCAUUAAGCACUCCGCCUGGGGAGUACNGCCGCAAGGCUGAAACUCAAANGAAUUGACGGGGGCCCGCACAAGCGGUGGAGCAUGUGGUUNAAUUCGAAGCAAUCGCGAAGGGACCUU
rnacentral:rRNA from 1 species